GCGGGCGUAGUUCAAUGGCAGAACGAUAGCCUUCCAAGCUGUAUAUGUGAGUUCGAUUCUCAUCGCCCGCU
rfam:Omnitrophica WOR_2 bacterium RIFCSPHIGHO2_02_FTLL_46_37 rifcsphigho2_02_scaffold_38436, whole genome shotgun sequence.